rnacentral:rRNA from 1 species
GAUCCUCGCUCAGGACGAACGCUGGCGGCGUGCUUAACACAUGCAAGUCGAACGAAGAGCGAUGGAAGCUUGCUUCUAUCAAUCUUAGUGGCGAACGGGUGAGUAACGCGUAAUCAACCUGCCCUUCAGAGGGGGACAACAGUUGGAAACGACUGCUAAUACCGCAUACGAUCCAAUCUCGGCAUCGAGACUGGAUGAAAGGUGGCCUCUAUUUAUAAGCUAUCACUGAAAGAGGGG